rnacentral:rRNA from 1 species
GGGCGUUAAGUUGCAGGGUAUAGACCCGAAACCCGGUGAUCUAGCCAUGGGCAGGUUGAAGGUUGGGUAACACUAACUGGAGGACCGAACCGACUAAUGUUGAAAAAUUAGCGGAUGACCUGUGGCUGGGGGUGAAAGGCCAAUCAAACCGGGAGAUAGCUGGUUCUCCCCGAAAGCUAUUUAGGUAGCGCCUCGUGAAUUCAUCUCCGGGGGUAGAGCACUGUUUCGGCUAGGGGGCCAUCCCGGCUUACCAACCCGAUGCAAACUGCGAAUACCGGAGAAUGUUAUCACGGGAGACACACGGCGGGUGCUAACGUCCGUCGUGAAGAGGGAAACAACCCAGACCGCCAGCUAAGGUCCCAAAGUCAUGGUUAAGUGGGAAACGAUGUGGGAAGGCCCAGACAGCCAGGAUGUUGGCUUAGAAGCAGCCAUCAUUUAAAGAAAGCGUAAUAGCUCACUGGUCGAGUCGGCCUGCGCGGAAGAUGUAACGGGGCUAAACCAUGCACCGAAGCUGCGGCAGCGACGCUGAUGCGUUGUUGGGUAGGGGAGCGUUCUGUAAGCCUGUGAAGGUGGCCUGUGAGGGUUGCUGGAGGUAUCAGAAGUGCGAAUGCUGACAUAAGUAACGAUAAAGCGGGUGAAAAG